rnacentral:misc_RNA from 1 species
CUGGAACAAACCGUUCUUCGGAACGGCCACCCAGAAACCCUUGUGAACUUAUACCUAAAACUGUUGCCUCGGCUUUGGUUGGCCUCUAAUGAGGUCCCUACGUCUUUUGACGUAGGAGCAGACCGGCCGGUGGCCCUAUAAACUAUUGUUUCUGUGAAUCUUCUGAGUAACUAAAAAGUAAAUAAUCA